rnacentral:rRNA from 1 species
UCCUACGGGAGGCAGCAGUAGGGAAUUUUCGUCAAUGGGCGCAAGCCUGAACGAGCAAUGCCGCGUGAACGAGGAAGGUCUUCGGAUCGUAAAGUUCUGUUGAAGGGGAAAAAGAGCGGAGAGAGGAAAUGGUCUCCGAUUGAUAUUACCCUUCGAGGAAGUCACGGCUAACUACGUGCCAGCAGCCGCGGUAAUACGUAGGUGGCGAGCGUUAUCCGGGUUGGUUGGGCGUAAAGGGUGCGUAGGCGGCCUGCUAAGUCUGGAGUGAAAGGGACCGGCUCAACCGGUACAGGCUCUGGAAACUG